CAGCAGCCGCGGUAACACGGAGGGUGCAAGCGUUAAUCGGAAUUACUGGGCGUAAAGCGCACGCAGGCGGUCUGACAAGUCAGAUGUGAAAUCCCCGGGCUUAACCUGGGAACUGCAUUUGAAACUGUCAGGCUGGAGUCUUGUAGAGGGGGGUAGAAUUCCAGGUGUAGCGGUGAAAUGCGUAGAGAUCUGGAGGAAUACCGGUGGCGAAGGCGGCCCCCUGGACAAAGACUGACGCUCAGGUGCGAAAGCGUGGGGAGCAAACAGGAUUAGAUACCCCUGUAGUCCCUGUCUCUUAUAC
rnacentral:rRNA from 1 species